rnacentral:lncRNA from 1 species
AGAGCUGCUGCGAGAAGAAGACCCAGGAGAUCUGGGGCAGCGAGCUGUGCGUCUGACAGCGCAGGUCCAGCAGCGUGGGCCCCAGGAAGGCGAUGCACAGGCCGAAGCUGAAGAAGACGCUCCAGUAGGGUCUGGCUCUGUAACCCAGGCUUGAAUGCAGUGGCAUGAUGGGUGCAAUCUUGUUACCUGUUACUGGUCUCUUCAGGUUUUCUUUUUGGCUCAAUCUUGAGAUGGAGGCUCGUUUUGUUGCCCAGGCUGGAGUGCAGUGGCUAUUCACAGGCACAAUCAUCAUACACUGUAGCCUAGAACUCCUGGCCUCAAGCGAUUUUCCUGUCUCAGCCUACAAAGUUGCUGGAACUCUAGGUAUGUGCCACCGUGCCUAGCUUCUGAUUUUAUUUAUUUGGGUGUUCUCUUUUUCUUAGUCUAGCUGAUGAUUUGUCAAUUUUGUUUAUCUUUAGAAAAAACAAGUUUUCAUUUUUUUCAUCUUUUGGUACUAUUUUUAGUCUCUAUUUUGUUUAGUUCUGCCCUGAUCUUUAUUCUUUCUUUGCUUCUACUAAUUUUGGGUUCAAUUUGUUUUUGCUUUUCUGGUUCCAUGAGGAGCAUCAUGGAGUUGUUUAUUUGAAAUCUUUCUACUUUUUAGAUAUAAGUAUUUAUCGCUAUAAACAUCUCUCCUAGUAUUGCUUUUACUGUAUCCUGUGGGUAUUGGUAUGUUGUGUUUCCAUUUUCAUGUUUCAAGACAUUUUUUUAUUUCCUUUUUAAUUUCUUCAUUGACCCAGUGGUUGUUCAGGUAUGUAUUAUUUAAUUUCCAUGUAUUUGUAUAGUUUCCAGGGGUCCUUUUGUUAUUAAUUUCUAGUUUUACUCCAUUGUAGUUUGAGAAAAUACUAGGUAAGGUUUCUAUUUUUUUUUUUUUUUUUUUUUCCAUAGAGAUGGGGUCUCACUCUGUGUUGCCCAGGCUGGUCUCGAGCUCCUGGGCUUAGGCAAUCCUCCUGCCCCCCGAAGUGUUGAGAUUACAGACAUGAGCCACCAUAGCCGACCUAAUUUUUUUUUUUUUUUUUUUAGAUGGAGUCUCUCUCUGUUGCCCAGGCUAGAGUGCAGUGGAACGAUCUUGGCUCACUGCAACCUCUGCCUCCCGGGUUCAAGCAAUUCUCCUGCCUCAGCCUCCUGAAUAGCUGGGAUUACAUACGUGCACCAUCACGUCCAGCUAAUUUUUGUAUUUUUAGUACAGAUGGGGUUUCACCAUGUUGGCCAGGCUGGUCUGAACUCCAGACCUCAAGUGAUCCACAUGCCUUGGCCUCCCAAAGUGCUGGAAUUACAGGUGUGAACCACCAUGCCCAACCUAGCCAGCCUGAUUUUUUAAUAUUUGUUGGGAUUUAUUUUGUGGCCUAACAUAUGCUCUAUCUUGGAAAAUGUUCCAUGCAUAUACAUUAACUUUAAUCUUCACAAUGGUCCUGUGAGGUAGAUAUUAUUAUCCCUAUUUUAUGGAUAAGAAAACUGAGGCUCAGGAAGGCAGAGUAACUUGCCUAAAGUCACACAGCAUAAGUAGCAAAGCUGAGUUUUGAGCCUGCGUUGCCUGACUCCAAAGUCUGGAUCCUUCCCAUGAGAAUGUCUGCCUCUCACAUUCAACUCCAAUACACACAUCUAAGACUAGUGCAUAAGCUGAUAGCUGUUAACAUUUUCCCCCACAGAAAAUGCAGCUGAACCAAGCCUGCCUAUCUUGUCUAUGAGCAGCUGAUUCUUUGAAUCUAAAGAAUUGAUACAGGACUUGAUACAUGUGGAAUAACAGAAAGAACCUGGACCGUGGAGUGAGACAGGCUUAGACUUGAGUUCUGGCUACACACUUGGCUGUGCCAACUCAAGGCGGCUACCUUGACAUUAUAAGGCUGAUUUUCUUCAACUGUAAAAUGUCGAUGUAGGAUUACAUGAUAACACAUGCAAAGCCUCUGGUAGAACACUCAGGGCAGCACUGCUCAUGCUUCUUAGUUGCCUUCCCCUGAUCUGGAGUGUCAAUUAAUCUUGGUUUGAGUUCCUCUUGCCCACCAGUGCACUUUGGUCCCCCAUUCAGUCAUGUAGCAAGGGGCUAUUCCUCCAGCUGUUCUUGAGUAAGCAUGGCACCUCACAUUCAUAUAGAAUGGUUACUAAUAGUCAUCCAAGUUAUUGAGAAAAAUAUUGACCACAAUGUACCACUCUCCCACUCCACUUUUUCCUAAUUAAUCUUUCCUUUGGGACUCAGCUAAGUUGUUCAUUCUGCUGGGAGUGCUCCACCCACCCAGAGCUGCCCCGAGUGCCUGCCUUGUGUUCUCUGCAUCCCCUCACCACCUUCCUUUGUGACAAGCAGCUGAGGUGUCUGUAACCCGAAUCAAUACUGGAUCAGCUCCUUGAAGAUAGAGAUUGGGUCACACAAUUAUCCUUAUAUCUUAGAGCACAGCACCUGCCUGGUACAUAGCUGGCAUUCAGAAAAUAUUAGCUACGCAAAAAUGUGUUUAAGUAUUAUAACCUUGAGUUGAUGAAACUCUGAGGCAAGAAAUAGUAUUUAUAGAGGAUUUCAUGAAAAAUGUACAAUUUAUCGAUCUCAUCAGUUCUCAGAUUUGGCUAUAUAUUAAAAUCCCCUGGAAACAUAGAAAAAAUCAGAAUCUCUGGUUGGUGGAGUCCUGUGUUGGUAUUUUGCAAAAGUUCCCAGGACUUCCUAAUGUGCAGCUAGGGUUGGAAACCACUGCUCCAGAAAAUCCACAUUUUACCACUGAAGAACUGCCUGCAUAUCCUGUACCAUUUAGGCCCUGCACUAAAGUGCCUUUAUUGAAUUAUACUUGGGCUUUGUGUCCAAUUUGACUGAACCUGGGAUAUAACUGUGCGACUCUUGUCACCGGAGAUAUGGGGAGAUGUUGUUGUCAAUGGAUCCUCUUUAUGAAGACACACCAGAGAGAUGCCUAUUGGGCAUCAGCACCAAAAAAAGGCCAUGAUCCUCCUGAGCAACCAGUUCAUGUUUGUCUUACGGAUUCCAGGAAUCAUUUAAUUAACACUAUUUUCCAGGUUUGUAGUAGCUGCUGCAAAGCUCAAGAUCAAAGCCAUGGUGCAUCUUUAUCACCUACAAAGAAUUUUGUGGUGUGUGUGUUACAUAUUGACUUGGUUCUGCAUUAUUUUUUGUCUUUUUCUCUUCACCCUCUGAUAUGGUUUAGGUCUGUGUCCCUACCCAAAUCUCAUGUCAAAUUAUAAUUCUCAAUGUUGGAGGAGGGGCCUGGUGGGAGGUGAUUGGAUCAUGGGGGCAGACAUCCCCCUUGCUGUUCUCUCAAUAAUGAGUUUUUAUGAGAUCUGGUCGUUUGAAAGUGUGUAGCACCUCCUCCUUUGCUCUCUUUUUCCUGCUGGCCAUGUGAAGAUGUGCCUGCUUCCCCUUCGCCUUCCGCCAUGAUUGUAAGUUUUCUGAGGCCUCUCCAGAAGCAGAAGCCUGUAUAGCCCACAGAACUAUGAGUCAAUUAAACCUCUUUUCUUUAUAAAUUACCCAGUCUCAAGUAUGUCUUUAUAUCAGUGUGAGAAUGUAUGAAUACACCCUCCUUUCCUUAACUUUUUCUAUAAUAAAGCUUUUUAAUUGAGAUAAUUCACAUAUCAUAAUAUUCGCCCUUUUAAAGUGUACAAUCCAGUGGUUUUUAGUGUAUUUACAAGAUUGUGUGACCAUCACUACUAAUUCCAGACCAUUUCCAUCACCCCAAAAAUAAACUCCACACCCAUUAGCAGUCACUUCUCACUCUCUCUUCCCCUCGACUUACUUUCUGUCUUUAUGGAUUUGCCUGUUCUAGAUAUUUCAUAUCUAGAUAUUUCAUAUAAAUGGAAUCAUACAAUAUGUGGCUUUCUGUGUCUGGUUUCCUGUACUUAGCAUAAUGUUUUCAAGGUUCAUCCAUGGUAUCAGUAGUUUAUUCCUUUUUUAUGGCUGAAUAGUAUUCUAUUGUAUGGACAUACCACAUUUUGUUUAUACAUUCAUCAGCUGUUGGACAUUUGGGUUUCUACUUUUUGGCUAUUAUGAAUUAUGCUGCUGAGAAUAUUCAUGCACAAGUUUUUAUGUGAAUAUGUUUUAGUUCUCUUGGGUACAUAUUAGAAGGGUGGUUUGCUGUGUCAGAUAGUAACUCUGUGUUUAACUUUUUGAGACCCUUUCCUCAUUUAAAGAAAUGUUUUUGUCUUAUAGUAUAGUAUGUAUCUCUGUAAGCCACUACAGAUUCCUCUUUUUGGAAUGAGGUGGCAUAUAAAUAAAUAAAUAAAAAGUCACAAAGCACUCCCAAGCCAUCUGUUUAAUAAUCUGUGCCAGAAUGUUGCCAGGAUUCUAUAUUGAGCCGUUUGGUCUAUAAUUUCCAGAAAUACCUUCUGUCUCCUUGUAAAAAUCGGAACAUUUUCCCAUCUCCACUGUCCUCAAGUAUCUAGGUUGUUUUUCAGUCCUACCUGCAAGGGAUUUCAUGACUCUGGUGUCCUACCUGAAUCAGGCCCCCAGAACUCAUCUAUGGCCACAAAAGGUCUGCCCUCCACCUUCUCAUCUGUCUUGUGACACACUUAAAAUGUUUUGUAUCAAAGUAAUUCAUGCACAUGGUUAAAAAUAAACUAGAACAGAAGAGCUUACAGUCCCCUACCUCAUCCCUCCCACCCCUAGUCUUGCUCCCCAGAGGCAACUGCUUCUAACUCUUUUAGCUCUUUAUUCUGGGAGUAACUUCCAUAUCUCUAAAUAAUAUGCUAAUGCCACUGUUCCUUGGCUUUUCAAGUUUAAACAUCCUCUAUUAAUUUAUAACUAUCAAAAAUGAGGUGGGGCACGGUGGCUCACGCCUGUAAUCCUAGCACUUUGGGAGGGUGAGACAGGCGGAUUGCUUGAGCUCAGGAGUUCAAGACCAGCCAGAGGAACAUGGUGAAACCCUAUCUGUACUAAAAUACAAAAAAUUAGCUGGGUGUGAUGGCACAUGCCUGUAAUCCCAGCUACUUGGGAGGCUGAGACAGGAGAAUUGCUUGGACCUGGGAGGCGGAGGUUGCAGCCUGGGUGACAAAGCCAGACCCUAUCUCACACACACAAAACAAUGAUAAUAAUAAUAAUUUAUCAAAAAUGAGGAUUUAGUUUACAUAUCUAAUCCAAACAACCGUCCCCCCACCCUACUGUCAGUACAGUUAUAUAACUGUUCUUAUUUAAUUCCUCUAAAUAAAAUAAAAAUAAAUCUGUCAAUUACCUCUGUUGCUUUAAGUGACUACAUCUUUAUUUUUCAUCCCACUAGCUGUUGAUAGUAGUUUUGACUCACUGUUUAUAGGAUAAAGAUAUCAUCACUCCUACCUUUCCCUUUAGGCUGCCCUUCCCAACUUCUGUCUUCUGAACAUUUACUUUUUUUUUUUUUUUUGAGACAGAGUCUUGCUCUGUCACCCAGGCUGGAGUGCACCCAGGCUGGAGUGCUAUGGCAUGGUCUUGGCUCACGACAAACCUCCGCCUCUUAGGUUCAAGUGAUCCUUCUGCCUUAGUCUCCCAACUAGCUGGGAUUACAAGAAUGCACGAUCACACCCAGGUAAUUUUUGUAUUUUUAGUAGAGAUAGGGUUUGGCCAUGUUGGCCAAGCUGGUCUCGAACUCCUAACCUCAAGCGAUCCACCCACCUAGGCCUCCCAAAGUGCUGGGAUUACAGGAAUGAGCCACCACGCCUGGCACAUUUACUUUAAAUGUUCAAUGUUGACAACAUUUAUGUUCCAAUUUUCUCAUUAGAUUAUGUUCUAAUCUUCUGUGCUUUGCUUAUAGGUUUCUAAAUGUUUAAAUCCAAUAAAUAGUGUUUACAUUUUGUGACAAUGUAAAUAUUGUUUAUUACAGAGCCACACAAUGUCCUAUGAUGAAUUUUCUUCUUUUAUUUCUUCUAGUUUUUCAUAAGAGUUUCUAAUUGCCUUUCUUCUUCUCGUUUCCCUUCUCUUUUUUCUCUCUCUCUGUCUCUCUCUUUCUUAGACAGGGUCUCACCGUGUCACCCAGGCUGGACUCAAGCCAUCUUUCUAAGUAGCUGGGAUUACAGACAUGUGCCACCAUGCCAGGCUUAUUCUUUAAUAAUACCCUUGUCAUUUCCUCAAGUCUGCUCUCACCUUUCCAGCAAAUGAGUAGAGGUGCCUUAUUUCUCAGGACCUGUUACACAGAGCCCUCUGCCCUUCCGCCACAUAGGUGUUGGCCUGGGGCUUCUUCCUUUCACUGAUGCCCUGGGCCUGGCAGCCCUCUCUCCCUCCCUCCUUCUCUUCCUUUCUUCUGCUUGUUUCUUCUUUGUUUAUGCUCUCAUUUUGCUGUACCACAUCUUUAAUUUCUCAAGGAGUGUGUGGUAUGUAGGUUUUCUGAGUCCCUCAUGUCUGAAAGUAUCAUUGCUCCACCCUCACACUUGAAUGGCAAUUUGGACAGAUAUAGAAUUCUUGAUUGAAAAUUGCUUUGGUCAUUGAAUAUUGAAGGCAUAGUUCUAGCCUUUGCUGGUGAGAACUUUGAGACCAGUCUGAUGCAUAUAUAUAUGUGUAUGUAUAUAUAUAUAUGGAAAUAUAUAUAUAUACAAAUAUAUAUGCAAAUAUAUAUAUGCAAAUAUAUAUACACAUAUAUAUGCAAAUAUAUAUACACACAUAUAUAUGCAAAU